rnacentral:lncRNA from 1 species
AGUCAUUAUACCUAGAGCAACUCAGACAAAGAAAUUGAAAAGGAAUGACUUGCAUUCUUCAGUUCCUGGCUUCUCCCUAACCUCUCCCAUGGAGUUGCACAAUAUGCAGCAGGAGGCCACUGGGGACUAUCACAGAGAGGCCUGAAAUAGGGACCACCUCCCUUUCAGAUGAAUCAGUGAAACAGGGAAGACCAAGGGCACUUACUGGAGUCUCUGCUGAGCAGUUUCCUGCAGCCUCUGGAAAAAAAAAUGUGAUCUGAAAAAAUGUGCUAUAUAUGUGUAAUAUGAAUUGUAAUGCAUUCUGCUGUCAUAUAUAACAAAUAAGAAUAAAAAAUAAAAUUUUUUUAAAAAGUUGAGAAUAGAUCAUAAAAACCAGGCAGUGAAUGCACUACUAUCCAAGCUGAACCAUGAGGAAUGCUGAAUCUGGGAGCCAAGGAGGCCAGGUGGGACUUGGGAGCCAUCUUUCUAAACCACGAAGGUCCUGGGAAAAUGAAUCAGCCUUGCAAAACUCUUCACCUGUUACUCAAUACAGUCAUUAGAACAUAAAAGAAUUUGAAGCCACAAUUGUAUCAAAACAAAGUCCCUCAUAAGCUGUGCCAUAGACACUGCAUCGGAUGCCAUAGGUAGUCCAGAAGAAAUCUAACUUCCUCAAAGAAGAUGCAUACCAGGGCCUUGAAGAUGUGCACUCCAGGCCAAUUCUGAACCCUGCUGGAACCAAUUUUGAGGCAGUCAUUGGCUCAGAAGGCAAAGCUACCAAGUAGUUGGAAACAUCCACAGCAGUUUCAUGAAGCUACCUCCAACCCUAGUCCACAGUUUUAGGCAGAACCCAGCACAGCCCACCCCCUCCGCCUGCACUGCACCUUUCUGUGAGCUGUACAGAUUGGUGGGGAGCUGCAGGAAUGCAGGUUGCCAGAGGUUUCCUAAGUGCGGUUCCUAAUCAGAAGCAUCUGUGUCACCUUGGGUUCCAAGAUGGGCUUCCAGACCACUGCCUGCCCCAGAUUGUCCCACCCUAGAGCCCUCUAACCCUCCCCCUGGCUGCUGUGGCAAGUGUGUGAGCAAGUUUCCCAUCUUUCCCCAUAACUCUUAAUGUCAACUUCAUCAACCAGUAAGUUUCCACAUGAAUCUGGAUUUUCAGAUUGGACUGUGUCCUGUGCUGUUGAUCUAUCUGGCCAUUGCUGUGUAUAUAGUAUAACUGACUAUAAUGAUAAUACAUAUGUAUAAUAUAUAAAUACAGUAAAAUGCCCAAGUCAAUAAUACAAAUAUAUAACACAAAUAUGUUGUAACUCUCAAUAUACUAGUAUCAUAUAUUGGUGACUCUAGUGUAAUUGUUAAUAAUCUUAGGACAGGCACCAUUUCUCUCUUUGUAUAUGUGUCCAUUUAAAAG